CGGAGAAAGUGGAGGAGAAGAAACCAAAGCAAUGAACCAGUCGACCUCACCGGAGGGAGAAAAUCCGGCCAUCGUCGAUCAGAAGUGGGAUCCCCACGACCCUAUUCAAGAUUAAUUUUAGUUCCUAUUUAAUCGGUUAGUUAAGUCAUGAGAGUUGAGACUAUGUUAGUUAUUUUAAGAGCGACAGAUGAUGGUUGUAACUAGGGGUGAAAAUGAGAUGGUCACGAACGGGACGGUAUUGCCUCUGGUAUCCACUCUGUUUUGCCAAAACAGGACGUGGAACGGGAUGGUAUUGAGGCAUCUGCCACAAUAUUUAAUCUUCCGGGUUUGUAAAUUAUAAUUAAUUGCAAAAUCAAAUCUUAACAAUUUACACAGAAACAUUUGUUGUUUAGAAGUCUGAAUGACUUGCGUUAACACAUUUUUUAAAAUUCUGUGAUCAGUCCUGAUAAUGAAUCUGGAUCCCAGUAAAUAAUGUCUUCACUUAUUUACUGUUUGUGUUAUAGCAAACAUCUCUUUAAUAUAGACUGAGACACCUAUCAUUCUUUCAGAAAUUUUACAACUGUAGAAGGCAAUCAGGUGUUUCUCUUGAAUUAGAACUAGUUGUCCACACUCCAUUAGCACAAGUAUCUGUUUCAAUUUUGAAUUGUUUUUAAAAAUUUGGAUAAUUUAACACAGGUGUUGUAGUCAUGGCUUUUUUCAGACUUCGGUCUCCAUUUAAAACUGUCUUUUUUAAUAUAUCAGUCAGGACAGAAGCUAUUUGUGCAUAAUUUCUCACAAAUCUUCUAUAAUAUCCAGUUAAGCCUAAGAAUCCCCUCAGUAGCUUGAUUGUAGACGGUUUCUUCCAUUCUAUCAUUGUUUUGAUUUUAUCUAGGCCAGGGUGAACUCCCUCAGAUGAUAUAAUGUGACCCAAGAAACCUACAGAUCGAUUCCUUCCCAAAAGAGCAUUUAGGAAGUUUAGCCAGUAGCUUAUUGCUCCUCAGAAUUUCGAAGACUUGAGCUAAAUGUUCCAGAUGAUCAGAAAUAGAUGAGUUGUAGAUAAGAAUAUCAUCAAAGAAAAUUAUGACAAAUUUUCUUAAAUAUCUCUGAAAAAUAGAAUUCAUCACAGACUGAAAUGUUGAUGGGGCAUUAGUAUGCCCAAAUGGCAUAACCAGAAAUUCAUAAUAGCCAGUGUGUGUUCUGAAUGCAGUCUUGUGAGUGUCAGAUGGAUAUAUUCUGAUCUGAUGGAAUCCCGAUCUUAGGUUAAGUUUUGAGAAGAUGGUGGCUCCUUUUAAUUUUCCUAGCAACUCGUCCACUGUAGGGAUUGAAAACUUUUCCUUGAUGGUCAUGGCGUUUAGGGCUUUGUAGUACGUCAACACACAUCCUGUAACCUUCGUCUUUUUAUUUAUUAGAAGGACAGGUGAUGAAUAUGAACUUGAGCUGGGUUUGAUUGUCUUUUAUUUUAACAUUUCAACUACUAAUUUCUCAAUUUCAGUUUUUUUAAAUUGGGGAUCGAUACAUGUUGGGUCUCACAUUUACAGGUUGGUUGUCUAGGGACAAGAGGAAUCUGUGUUCUUGUUCUCUGACAGGUGGUAGUUCAUAUGGAUCAGCAAAUAUAUCAUUGAAUUGUUGCACUACUUUAUGGAUCUGAGGUUGUUCUUCUUUCAAUGUUUUUUGUUUUACUGGUGUCUUCUCUACUGUUUCAUAAUAGCAUAGAUAUGCUUCUCUAGUGCUAGCAUAUAAGCUCUUCAAUUCAGCAGAUAUGAGUGGUUCAUUUGAUAUCCACUCUAAGUCUUUCCAUGUAAUUUCUUUGUUUUCCCAAGUGAAGCUCAUUUUCAUAUUAUCAUAAUUAGAUAGAAUAUUGCCCACUUUCUUUAGCCACUGUAUGCCAAUUACCACAUUUGAACCUGACAUCUUGAUCAGAAAAAUAUCCAUGCAUACUAUAACACCUUGUAUUUUAAUCUCAACAUUUUUGCACAUCUUGUCGCAUAUUAUUUUUUCUUCCCCACUAGUAGCUACUGUAAAUGGCUUUAUUGCAUGUAUCACUAGUUUCAAUCUGAUAGCUGUCUCUAUUUGAAUGAAAUUAUGUGUAGAUCCCAAAUCUACUAGUAUGCUUACAGCUUGGCUCUUAAUAAACCCUUCUAGCUUGAAGGUGUUGGGGUUCAAAUGUCCUUCAAAUGCGUGCCUGCUGAUCCCUGAAGGAGAUUCAUCACUUGUGAUGAUUGAUGGUAUUUCUUCUGUGAUAUUUUCUGUUUGUUCUUCCAUUUCCAUCAACCAGGAUUCAUCAGCUGAUAGCAUAAAAAUUCUUCCUUUGCAUUUGUGUCCAAGAGUAAAUUUAUCUUCACAGUUAAAGCAUAAGCCUUUAGCUGCUCUUUCCUUUCUUUCUUCCUGAGAUAGUCUUUUGAAGGUUGAUAUUUUUCCUGGCCUUUCUUUCUUUACGUCAGUUCCCCUUUUAUUUUUCUCAUUUACAGUUUUGUAUGUUGUUUCAGUUGCAUUACCCCAGUGUUUAUUCUGUUUAUUGCUGUAGCUGAAUUUAUUAAAUUUAGAUCAUGUCUGUCCUUCAAUCAACAAAGCCACAUCACCAACUUCUUGCUAAUCAUCUGGUCACUGGCUUUAAUUACUUCUUUUCUGAUGUUUUCUUUUAAUUCAGAAAUGAACAUUUCUAGAAUAAAAUAUUCUGGUAAUCCCAAACACCUCGUGCUCAUCUCUUCAAAUUUAUCUUGAUAUUCAGUAACACUUAGAUCUUGCAUUAGUUUGUUUAAAUUCCCCCUGGUAAAGAGUAGUAAACUCUGUUGAAUUUUCUUGUGACAUCAGCCGUAAACUUUUUCCAUGUUGAUAGGAAUCCACUAGCUUCCAUCCAUGAAAAUCACUUUCUUGGAACAAUUAGCAAUUUCUGUUCCUCAAGAGUUUUAUUGUAAAUAAAAAAUCUCCUUACUUGGAACAACCAACCUUCAUACCAUCAAAUCUUGAUAUGUAAACUUUAAAUGUUUUGGAAGGCGUGUAGUUUUCAUCUUCCAGUACGCAAGCUGCAUAUUCAGGUCUGUCCAGAUCUACCAGAGAUAGGUAACUAUGGUCAUUAAACUUUCUUUUUUUUGGGUCUGGGUCUGGAUCUGGAUUUUUUUUUUUGGGGUCACGAACGGUUGAUAGCUUCGAAAAAUUUCUUUAUUUGUCUAGCCAUUUCAGAUAUCGAGUUUGAUACUGAUACUCUAAACUCUGUUAAUUCUUUCCCUUGGGCCAUUUGGAGUUGUAAUCUUGUGAAGUCUGGAUUAGAUAUUUUAUCUGUCAUUUUUGUUCUAGAGCCUGCAAUGAGUACAAGUGUUGAAAAUACCAAUUGAUACCACUAAAUUUAAUUAGAGGUAACAGAGCAAAUUCACCUUCGAGAAUGUGAGACUCCGGUCCGAUGAUCUGAGAUCUCGGGUGCCAAGAGUCGAUCACAGCGAGGAUAAACCUUUUAUCUCUAAAAGAAUAAUCAGAGUGAUUAGUCAUAAAAGGGUGUUUAAAUAAACAUCCUAUACUGAACUGGAUCUACUUGUAAAUAAAUAAAACAAAUUAAGGGUCAUACAGUUUCAUCUAAAGAAAGAAACUGUGAGGUCAAAAAGGAAAAAUGCACACUUAAAGGCAGUUACGAGAUACAAAGAAUCACGAGGGUCGGAUUGCAACUUUAGCCACUUAAAGGCACUCGGGAAAUACAAAGAAGUAUGAGGAUCAGACUACAACUUUAGCCACUUAAAAUAAAGAUAUCGGGCUAAUGGGUAUUCGGACUGCCAUCCGAUUAAAAAUCUGUUUAGUUAAUUAGUUAGUAAAUCUUGUAUUAACUUCUUAAGUUAGUUGGUUAGUUAAUUGGGAUUUCCUAUUAAAUACAACAUUGUAAUCUCUUUUAAUUAAUUGAAUGAAAGAGUUAACUACUUAAGUUUAUACUCAUCACAUCUCUACAGUGAUAACGGCUAAGAAAUUAGGUAAUACGAAUUACCCUAAUUUCUCCCCCAUUCCAGUCGAUUGCUCCCCGUCCGGCGAGCCACUGGAAGUUCAUUCUGCGUGUUCUUCAACUACAGAGCGUGCUCACAUUUUAAUAUGGUAUCUGCCGGUAGUGUCGGUCGUGCUUCCGCUAAUGAAGGAGAGGAAGAGAUCGUCGUUACCCAGAACGAGCAAGAUAAUCAGUCAGGGUCGUCGAGCUCAGCUCCAUCCUCUCCGCCGUCAAUUCUCCACUCCCCUCGCCGCAAGUCGCGCUCAUCCUCCAAGCAUAGACAAAAGAGUCAUCACGGGCAUCACUCCCACAAAUCAAAGAGAUUGGGCCCUGUUUCAGCAAUAAACAACAGGGAGUCUAUCUAUUACUUAAACUCUGGAGAUCAUCCAGGGGCACUGAUAGUCUCUGAUAAGUUGAUUGGGGAGUCCAGUUAUGCAAGUUAGGCAAAUGCCAUGAGGCUCUCCCUACUGUCCAGAAGAAAAAUCAACUUUGUGAAUGGGAUUCAAAAACCAGAGGAUAGAGGAGGAAAAGAAUUUGAAGCAUAGGAGACAGUGAAUGGCCUAGUUCUCUCAUGGAUUGUCAACAGUGUAUCACCUCAGAUAUCAUCUACACUCAUGCAUACUGAAGAAGCAAGCAUUGCUUGGAAGGAUCUUCAAAAAAGGUAUAACCAAGGAAAUGCACCUAAGGUUAACCAAGUGAGGUAUGAUCUAAAUAAUUUACAUCAAGGAUCUGAUAGUGUCACUGUUUUUUAUGAUAAGUUCAAAUCCCUAUGGAAUCAAAAAUUAGAAUUAGAAGACAUUGAUUUUUGUAGUUCAUGCACUCCCAAAUACAAUGUCAAAAUAGAGAAGGAUAAAAUUCACUGGUUCUUGUUAGGACUAAAUGAGGAUUUUAAGACUCUAAGAGGGCAAAUCCUUUUAUAUGAUGAACUACCCAACAUGAACAAAGUUUUUUAUCUUGUCAUAAAAGAAGAAAAACAGAAAAUCUGUUUUAGAGAUAAAAAUGAUAGGCCCAUAGAAUCAUCUGCCUUAUAUGCUAAAAGAACAAAUGAAAAAGAAGAAGAGAAAGAAUUCUAUAGCAAAAAUGGAAAAAAAUUAGAUGCUUCAAAGUACUGUGACAAUUGCAAUUAUUAUGAACAUAUAAGAAAAAAUUGCUAUCAUAUUGUGGGGUUUCCAAAUGACAAGAACAAAGAGAAUAACUAAAAAGGAAAUAAACAAGUUCAAGAAACGUAAGAUUGAGUCUGCAAAUCAAGCCUCGUUCUCAAACUCUACCAUUCCAGGAAUGUCUAGUGAAAAAAUUCUAAUGCUCAAGGACUUCUUGAAAAACAAUGGUAUGAGUCAUUUUUUUAAUACUUUAAAUUUUAAAAUAAAUCAUUUAUAUAAUGUGAUAGAUCUUAAAACAGAAUGGAUCAUAGAUACUGGAGCUUCCAAACAAAUGACUGGGAAUUUUCAGAUCUUUGAUAAACCACCAACUGAAAAUGGUGAACAUUUUGUCACCAUUCCAAGUGGUGAGAUAUGUAGAACUAAAUCAACAAGAAAAAUAACACUUUCCAAAGAUCUAAUUCUACAAGAUGUUCUUUAUAUACCACAAUUUAAAGUAAACUUAAUUUCAGUAAAUAAACUAACUCUGGACAGCAAUUUAAAAAUUUUAUUUGAUGACAAAAAUUGUUAUUUUCAGGGAAGCAAGUUAAGGAGAGUGAUUGGGAAGGGUAGGAGCCAAGAUGGGCUCUACAUAUACAGUUCUAAUCCUCCUGGUUAUGCAUAUACAUCCCUAGACUCUAAAACAUGGCAUAACAGACCUGGACAUAUUUUCAAUGAGAAGCUUGUUAUGUUAGUCAAAAAUCAGCAAAUAGAAUGUAGAAUAAAAAGUUUACUAUGUAAUAAAAAUUCUGUUUUGGAUGAUUGCAAUAAAGUUUUUUCAAAUAAAAAUUGUGAUGUUUGUCCUUUAUCCAAACAAAACAACUCAAAUAUACAAAAAGUACUUCAAAUAGUAAAAACUUAUUUGAUCUAAUCCAUAUAGAUAUUUGGGGUAAAUUCCCAAUUACCACUCAUGAUGGUUUCAAGUAUUUUUUAACCAUUGUAGAUGACUUAAGUAGGACAACUUGGAUUUUUCUAAUGAAAGAUAAUUAAGUCUAUGGCUUAUGAAUGCAUAAGGAAGUUCAUAAUCAAAGUUAAGAACUUCUUCUCUAAAAAUAUAAAAAUAAUAAGAAGUGAUAAUGGUGAAAAAUUUAAAUCAAAUAAAUUCAAAGAUAUGUUUGAGAAUCUUGGAAUUUUACAUCAAAUCACAUGUCCUUACAACCCUCAAUAAAAUGCAAGGGUUGAGAGAAAACAUAAGUGCUUACUUAAUAUAGCUAGGUCCCUACACAUACAAGCCAAUAUUCCCCUAAAGUAUUGGGGAGAAUGCAUAUUGGCUGCCACAUAUAUUAUAAAUAGGAUCCCAUCAAAGAUUCUAGAUAAUAAAACCCCUUUUGAAAUCUUACAAAAACAAAAACCCAAGUAUAAUUUUUUAAGAACCUUUGGGUGCGUAUGUUAUGCAACAACACAUAAUAGAGAACACAAGUUCUCUCCAAAAACGUUUAAGGGAAUAUUCAUGGGAUAUCCUCCCAACAUAAUAGGAUAUUUGAUACUCUGUCUAGAAGAUGAAAAAUUUUAUAUUAGUAGGGAUGUUGUUUUUAGAGAGGAUAUUUUUCCUUUCAAUCAAACUACAUCCAAGAUUGAUCAAAACAAAACAGAAAAUAUCUUCCAACUGCAAAAAAUAUUUAAUGAAGUAUUGGAAGAACCUCAUCCCAAGGAAGAUUGUUUUGAAAUCAUCAAAACAACCAAAAACAAAAAUUAUAAAAAAAUUCUAGACAGACCAGGUAUAACUGGAAAUAACCAGUCUGGUCAGUCUAGAAUCAUACCAAUAAAUAAAGAAUAAGACAGGCCAGAUAUAGCUGAAGAUAAUCAGCCUGCCCAGCCUGAAAUCACACCUGAAAACCAACAAUCAGACAGGCCAGAUAUAACUGAAAAUGAUCAGCCUGGCCAGUCUGAAACUAUAAUAGAAAACACAUUAAAAGUUGCUCUGGACAGGCCAGAAACAACUGAAAAUGAUCAGUUUAGAACAAUUGGCAAUAACCAAUCUGAGCUAAGACAAAUCAUCACUUUUAACUCAGAAAAUUAAGGAUAAAAUGAAGGGAGUCCAGUUCAAACUGAUCAUAUAGAAAAUAAUAGAAGUGAUUAUAGAAAUCAAAAUAAAGGAUCAAAUUCAAACAAAAAUAAUGAAAAUAACACAAAACAAGUUAAAAAUAUAAAACAAACAAGGUUGGGCAGGAUUAUAACCAAACCCAAACACAUUAGUGAUUUUCAUAUGGAUGAUGAAUCACCCAAGAAAAUCAAAUAUUCUAUGACCAACUAUGUGUCAUACCAUAGAGUAAAUGACAAACAUAAGAAUUUCCUAAAACAAAUCACUACAAACAUUGAACCAAGAACCUUCAAUGAAGCAUCCACUAACCCAAAAUGGGUAGAGGCAAUGAAAAAAGAGAUGGAGACCCUCAUCUCAAACAACACUUGGGUCAUAACUGAACUUCCAAAAGGAAAAAAAACAGUAGGAUCCAAGCGGAUAUACAAAAUAAAAUAUAAACCAAAUGGAGAUAUUGAAAGAUAUAAGGUAAGACUAGUAGCAAAUGGUUUCUCUCAAAAAAAAGGUUUGAUUUUUAUGAAAUCUUUGCACCAGUUGUCAAGAUGACAACAGUAAGAAUUAAGGUUUUAGAACCGAUUCUUAAUCUUUAUGAAAAAUUAAGAACCACACUUUUAGAAAUGGGUUUUAAACAAACCAAAUCAGACUACUCCCUCUUCAUAUAUAAGAGAAAAAAAAUGAAAACAUAAUUUAUCUAAUUAUAUAUGUAGAUGACAUAAUCAUCACAGACAGCAAUGAGCUAGAAACAGGAUUUUUAAAAAUACAAUUAGAAAAUAAAUUUAAACUAAAUUUAAACUAAAAGAUCUUGGAAAAUUAAGCUAUUUUCUAAAAAUUGAGGUAUCAUAUUCUAAUGAAGGUAUUCUUUUGUCUCAAAGGAGAUAUGCCUUAGAAAUACUUGAGGAAAGUGGCAUUUCAGGUGCAAAAGAAUCUAAAAUACAUAUGGAAAGGAAUAUAGAUCUCAAAAGUGAAUCUAAACCGAUUCAAGAUCCAACAUUCUAUAGGAAAUUAGUUGGAAAACUGAUAUACCUCAAUAUCACAAGACCUGACUUAAGCUAUGAGUCCACUGGCUUAGUCAGUUCAUUUAAAAGCCUUAUUCAAAGUAUUAAAAUACUUGAAAGGAGCCCCAGGGCAGGGAAUCAUUUAUAAAAAAAAUCAGGAUUUGAGUAUACAUGCAUACUGUGUUCUGAUUGGUCUGGUUGCCAAAUAACUAGGAAAUCUAGCUGUAACUGGUUUUUGCAUCCUAAUAGGGAAUUCUAUAAUAUCUUGGAAAUCCAAGAAACAAGCAAUAAUUUCAAGAUCCUCUUGUGAAGCUGAAUAUAGAGCAAUAGCUCAAACAGCUUGUGAGGUGAUAUGGAUUCAUCAACUAAUUAAAGAGAUGAAUUUCAAAACAAACAACAAAAUAUUGUGAUAACAAAUCGGCAAUUAAUCUAGCUAAUAACCCUGUUUUCUAUGAGAGAACAAAGCAUAUAGAAAUUGAUUGCCACUUCAUUAGAAACUUAAUCACCCAAGGAGUAGUUUGCCUAAAACAAAUUGGAACCAAAUUCCAAUUAGCAGACAUGUUCACUAAACCUAUGGGUGAGCUCGAGAUUACAUCAUCCUCUGUCAAGCUUGGAGUCAUAAACUUUUACUCCAGAGCUUGAGGGGGGAGUAAAAGAAUAAUCAGAGUGAUUAGUCAUAAACAGGGUGUUUAAAUAAACAUCCUAUACUGAACUGGAUCUACUUGUAAAUAAAUAAAACUAAGGGUCAUACAGUUUCAUCUAAAGAAAGAAACUGUGAGGUCAAAAAGGAAAAAUGCACACUUAAAGGCAGUUACGAGAUACAAAGAAUCACGAGGGUCGGAUUGUAACUUUAGCCACUUAAAGGCACUCGGGAAACACAAAGAAGUAUGAGGACCAGACUACAACUUUAGCCACUUAAAAUAAAGAUAUCGGGCUAAUGGGUAUUCGGACUGUCAUCCGAUUAAAGAUCCGUUUAGUUAAUUAGUUAGUAAAUCUUGUAUUAACUUCUUAAGUUAGUUGGUCAGUUAAUUGGGAUUUCCUAUUAAAUACAGCAUUGUAAUCUCUUUUAAUUAAUUGAAUGAAAGAGUUAACUACUCAAGUUUAUACUAAUCACAUCUCUACAGUGAUAACGGCUAAGAAAUUAGGUAAUACGAAUUACCCUAAUUUCUCCCCCAUUCCAGUCGAUUGCUCCCCGUCCGGCGAGCC
rnacentral:lncRNA from 1 species